UUUCGUUUUUGCAGAGAUGCAGGUAUUGUCAUGUUGCCUGGGCUGGUCUCAAACUCCUGGGUUCAAGCAAUCCUCCCACCUGUGCCUCCCUAAGUGUUGGGAUUACAGGCAUGAGCCGCUGCCUCCCCGCAGCAUGGGGGGACUUCUUAUAAGCAUUUUUAUUUAUUUAUUUGGAAUUCGGAUGGAUAGAUCAUGUUGGCCUGAUAAUGUAUGUGCAAGAGCACAGACUCUGGGGUCUCAUGGACAAGCCCCACUCUGCCCCUUGCUUAAUGUCUCUGAGCCUCAGUUUCCUCAUCUGUAACAAGGGCAGAAAUGCCAUCCGUGUGCAGCAGAGUACCGACGAAAGGAUGGAUGCAAUGCUCUUACGGCAGUGCCCCACCCAAGGCACAAGGAAAAACCACGAAAGCAAUUCCAGUUUACACCACGUCCCAAACUGGAUUUUCCAUUCGACUAUAAUUCCUCCCAAUAAGGGCUCAAAACGUUGUCUAAGGAAAGUCGAUUGGUUGUUGCCCAGGGCUGGAGGAGUUGGGGGAAAACGGGGAGUGACUGCUGAUGGAGACAGAGUUUCCUUUUGAGAUGAUGAGAAUGUCCUGAAGCUGGUCAUGCUGAUGGUUGCACGUAUCUAUGAAUAUACUAAAAACCAUCGAAUUGUACACUUUAGACAUGUGAAUUGUGUAGCAUGUGAAUUAAACCUCAAGUCGUUAUUUUAAAAA
ensembl:lncRNA FAM223A family with sequence similarity 223 member A